rnacentral:rRNA from 1 species
GCAAAUUGACACCGUAACUUCGGGAGAAGGUGUGCCGCUGGCGGUUAGUGACUUCGCGUCACGAAGCUGUUGGUGGUCGCAGUGAAAUGGCGGUUGUGACUGUUUACUAAAAACACAGGACUCUGCGAAGUCGUAAGACGACGUAUAGGGUCUGGUGCCUGCCCGGUGCUGGAAGGUUAAGGGGAUAUGUCAGAGCAAUCGAAGCAUUGAACCGAAGCCCCAGUAAACGGCGGCCGUAACUAUAACGGUCCUAAGGUAGCGAAAUUCCUUGUCGGGUAAGUUCCGACCUGCACGAAGGGCAUAACAACAUCCGCACUGUCUCGACCAGGGACUCAGCGAAAUUACAUUGGGGGUGAAGAUGCCCUCUACCCGCGGAAAGACGGAAAGACCCCAUGAACCUUUACUGCAACUUGGCAGUGAUUUUCGGGUUGUUCUGCGUAGGAUAGGUGGGAGGCUUUGAAGUCGGGCUUCCGGGUUCGACAGAGCCAACGUUGAAAUACCACCCUGAAUAAUCUGGAAAUCUAACCUGCGCCCAUGAUCUGGGCGAGGGACACUGCCUGGUGGGCAGUUUGACUGGGGCGGUCGCCUCCUAAAUUGUAACGGAGGCGUGCGACGGUUCCCUCAGGCUGAUUGGAAACCAGCCGUAGAGUGCAAACGCAUAAGGGAGCUUUACUGCGAGACUGACAAGUCGAACAGUUGCGAAAGCAGGUGUUAGUGAUCCGGUGGUACCACAUGGAAGGGCCAUCGCUCAUCGGAUAAAAGGUACUCUGGGGAUAACAGGCUGAUCGCGCCUGAGAGUUCACAUCGGCGCGCGGUUUGGCACCUCGAUGUCGGCUCAUCGCAUCCUGGGGCUGGAGCAGGUCCCAAGGGUUUGGCUGUUCGCCAAUUAAAGCGGUACGCGAGCUGGGUUUAAAACGUCGUGAGACAGUUUGGUCCCUAUCUUCCGUGGGCGCAGGACACUUGAGAGGAGCUAUCCAUAGUACGAGAGGACCUGGAUGGACGAACCUCUGGUGCUCCGGUUGUCACGCCAGUGGCAUAGCCGGGUAGCCAUAUUCGGAACAGAUAACCGCUGAAGGCAUAUAAGCGGGAAGCUGGCCUCAAGACUAGGUGUCCCUGACGCAAGUCACUAAAGGCCCCUCGAAGACUACGAGUUUGAUAGGCUAGGUGUGGAAGCACAGCGAUGUGCGGAGCUAACUAGUACUAAUAGGCCGUGCGACUUGACCUC